rnacentral:rRNA from 1 species
AGCAGCCGCGGUAAUUCCAGCUCCAAUAGCGUAUAUUAAAGUUGUUGCAGUUAAAAAGCUCGUAGUUGAAUUUCGGGAUCAAAUUGUUGGUCGUGCCUCGGUACGCACUGGUAUUAUUGGUUCCUACCUUCUGAAGAACCGCGAUGUCAUUAAUUUGGUGUCGUGGGAAAUCAGGACUGUUACUUUGAAAAAUUAGAGUGUUUAAAGCAGGCUUACGCUUGAAUACAUUAGCAUGGAAUAAUGAAAUAGGACGUUUGAUUCUAUUUUGUUGGUUUCUAGGAUUGACGUAAUGAUUAAUAGGGAUAGUUGGGGGCAUUAGUAUUCAAUUGUCAGAGGUGAAAUUCUUGGAUUUAUUGAAGACUAACUACUGCGAAAGCAUUUGCCAAGGAUGUUUUCAUUAAUCAAGAACGAAAGUUAGGGGAUCGAAGACGAUCAGAUACCGUCGUAGUCUUAACCAUAAACCUAUGCCGACUAGGGAUCGGAUGAUGUAAUUUUUAAU